AUUGAACGCUGGCGGCAGGCCUAACACAUGCAAGUCGAGCGAGUGGCGGACGGGUGAGUAAUGUCGGGGAAACUGCCUGAUGGCGGGGGAUAACUACUGGAAACGGUAGCUAAUACCGCAUACCAUCAGAUGUGCCCAGAGGGGAUUAGCUAGUGGGUGGGGUAAUGGCUCACCUAGGCGACGAUCCCUAGCUGGUCUGAGAGGAUGACCAGCCACACUGAAACGGAGACACGGUCCAGACUCCUACGGGAGGCAGCAGUGGGGAAUAUGGCACAAUGGGCGCAAGCCUGAUGCAGCCAUGUCGCGUGUGUGAAGAAGGCCUUCGGGUUGUAAAGCACUUUCAGCGAGGAGGCGUUACUCGCAGAAGAAGCACCGGCUAACUCCGUGCCAGCAGCCGCGGUAAUAC
rnacentral:rRNA from 1 species